rnacentral:rRNA from 1 species
GCUUAUAUACAGGUGCUGCAUGGCUGUCGUCAGCUCGUGUCGUGAGAUGUUGGGUUAAGUCCCGUAACGAGCGCAACCCUUGUCCUUAGUUACCAGCACGUAAUGGUGGGCACUCUAAGGAGACUGCCGGUGACAAACCGGAGGAAGGUGGGGAUGACGUCAAGUCCUCAUGGCCCUUACGGGCUGGGCUACACACGUGCUACAAUGGUCGGUACAGAGGGUUGCCAAGCCGCGAGGUGGAGCUAAUCUCACAAAACCGAUCGUAGUCCGGAUCGCAGUCUGCAACUCGACUGCGUGAAGUCGGAAUCGCUAGUAAUCGCGAAUCAGAAUGCCGCGGUGAAUACGUUCCCGGGCCUUGUACACACCGCCCGUCACACCAUGGGAGUGGGUUGCACCAGAAGUAGCUAGUCUAACCUUCGGGAGGACGGUUACCACGGUGUGAUUCAUGACUGGGGUGAAGUCGUAACAA